AUUGAACGCCGGCGGCAUGCUUUACACAUGCAAGUCGAACGGUAACAGGGUGCUUGCACCGCUGACGAGUGGCGAACGGGUGAGUAAUGCGUCGGAACGUGCCGAGUAGUGGGGGAUAACGCAGCGAAAGUUGUGCUAAUACCGCAUACGUACUGAGGUAGAAAGUGGGGGACCUUCGGGCCUCACGCUAUUCGAGCGGCCGACGUCUGAUUAGCUAGUAGGUGAGGUAAAGGCUCACCUAGGCGACGAUCAGUAGCGGGUCUGAGAGGAUGAUCCGCCACACUGGGACUGAGACACGGCCCAGACUCCUACGGGAGGCAGCAGUGGGGAAUUUUGGACAAUGGGCGAAAGCCUGAUUCAGCCAUGCCGCGUGUCUGAAGAAGGCCUUCGGGUUGUAAAGGACUUUUGUCAGGGAGGAAAUCCCUAGUGCUAAUAACACUGGGGGAUGACAGUACCUGAAGAAUAAGCACCGGCUAACUACGUGCCAGCAGCCGCAGUAA
rnacentral:rRNA from 1 species